rnacentral:rRNA from 1 species
CCUACGGUGUGCUGCAGUGGGGAAUAUUGCACAAUGGGGGAAACCCUGAUGCAGCGACGCCGCGUGAGUGAAGAAGUAAUUCGUUACGUAAAGCUCUAUCAGCAGGGAAGAAAAUGACGGUACCUGAGUAAGAAGCCCCGGCUAACUACUUGCCAGCAGCCGCGAGAAUACGUAGGGGGCAAGCUUUAUCCGGAUUUACUGGGUGUAAAGGGAGCGUAGACGGUUCGCCAAGUCUGGAGUGAAAUGCCGCAGCUUAACUGCGGAACUGCUUUGGAAACUGGCGAACUAGAGGGCGGGAGGGGUAAGCGGAAUUCCUAGUGUAGCGGUGAAAGGCGUAGAGAUUAGGAGGAACACAGGUGGCGAAGGCGGCUUACUGGACCGUGACUGACGUUGAGGCUCGAAAGCGUGGGGAGCAAACAGGAUGAGAUACCCGAGUAGUC